CCUUAUUAUUUAUGUAAUAAAACCUACAAUUGACUUUCCUGAGACUUGUAGCAUUCCUUAGACAGGGGAUACCUGCCUUCUGAAACACUGCUCAGAGAAACUGGAGCAAAUAUGCUAUUUUUGAGAUUUAGUCGCCUAUGGGAAGAAAAUCAAAAUUUUAAAUUAGGAAACACUCAGUGGAUUCUGUAAGUUUCUUCAUGGAUAUGCAGAUGAUGAAACUGAAGGGGAGAGAGUGAUUUUCUUAAAAUUGGUAUUCUGAAAUUUAAUGCAGUACUUAUGAAGUCUUUUAUACACUGCCAUUGGAAUGAGUCACUGGACUGUAUUCACCUAAAGUUCAGGUCUGGUCAACAUUUUAGACCCAAAGGUCAACAAACUAUGUAGAUUUGACCCAGAUAACAGAUGCAGUCUGGUACCCAUUUGUGUCAUUUUUAUGUGGCCAAACCUAACUUUGUGGUUUCAUCAUGACAGGCUUUAGUUUGCAGUAGAGAUCUUGUGGCUCAGGAGCCUGAAGAGUUUACUACUCAGCUCUGUGAAUCUUCUUUAAGAUGAUCUUUGAGAAUACCUUUCCAUGUCGUCCUUAAAGCAAGCUAUUGUCAUCCAUUGCUAGCAUUCAGAUUCUCAAGACAAGUAUGUCAUGAGAAAUGAACCUGCAAAGACUACCUGCUUUCUUACCACACUCAUUUCUCCUCACCACUUGUGCCUGCUGAAGUCUCUCCUCAAUCCUCUGCCAAGUGACUACUUGUUGUCUGGAAACUUCUGAGGACACUGGGGAAUCUGGUGGUAACAUGGGCAAGGGAUGUAACCUUGAAUGGAUGGUGGUGUUUUAAUUUCUUCCGCUGUAAGUUACCUAUUUUGUUGGCUUUUUGAACAUCAAUGGGUAUAUGUGUCUGAUACUCGUAAUGCUUAGUAGUAUCAGGUAUGAGAAGGACAACAGUUACAGAAGACGCUACUAUAAUCCAUUCAUAGGAAAUACAGAGGGCUGCCAAAUGCAAAGUGAGAGUAUCAACUUUGUUCUAGCCUGUCUGUAGCCUAGAAGGCCUUAAUAUAAAUGUCGGAGGGAAGUUCUCUCAAUAAUUCAGGAUGGUGCUCCAACAGGCCACAAGGGGAGAAAUGGCAGGAGUUAAAGCUGAAAGCAUGCUGAGGGCCAGGUGUGAAUGACAUCAAGACAUUUAAGGACUUUGCUUUAAGAACAAUGGUAACUCACUAAUACAGCAAACCACAUAUGUUGCAUUUUUGAAAUUUCAGUUUGGCUGUCAGGUAGAAAACAUGAAAUUUAAGUAGAUAAAAAGCAUGUGGACCAUUAGAAGGUUUUGAUGUUUAAAACGUCAUCAAUUAGGUAAGUGCUUGUGAGGAUGAAAGUGAGGAGUGACACAUGGACGGGUCUUCUGAGGAGGACGGUGAUAUUUAAAUGUUUUCCAAAGCUGAAGAGGAGGAAUUCAUGACGCCUCUCUUGGUUUCUAUUUUCCAGUUGGUGUUCUUUAUAUAAAGUGGGGACAUUUGCUGUUUAAUGAGGAACAACUUCAGAAGAUGCAGAGUGAGUUUUGAUGGGAAAGAGACUCUUCAUGGGCUACUCUAGAACAAACAAUGGAAACGGAUCACAGGAAAGAAUGAAGGACAUGGUUCAUGUCUGAUUCAGGUGAUUUCUACAAACAGUUCCAGGAGCUUUCUCCAUUCUCCCAGUUGAGAUUGGCAUUAUGCUUAGAGAAGAAAAAGCGUCUCAAAAGAAAACUAGUCACUCUUGAGGUAGAAUUGCCUCACCUGAAGAGGGAGGAGGUAUUUUUCCUUUUCUCUGAGUCAAGAACUCAUGAUCACCAUCACCCAACCCUGCUCACACACACCCUGACCACCACGGGUCUCUAGGCACUUUAAAUUCUAUGAUUUAUAUGAACUCUUACAGGGACGCAGCUGUUCUCCUGGGCAUAUUCACAACACGUUUUUCCACCCACUCACCUCCCAAGGUGGGUUCUUAAGCAAGUAGCAAAAUGAGGUGUGGGCACUGACACAAAGACCAAUGAGGCAUUUUAAGAGAAGUUAAAUUCAGGAAGCUUUAGGGAAACAAACAAAAAUAAAUUUUAAGAAAUCUGUUUGCAUGGAAAGAUAAAACAAUAAUAGAAUGAGAGAGAGAGAGAGAGAGAGA
rnacentral:lncRNA from 1 species